AAUAAUCAUUUAGCGGAGGAGAGGAAAACAAACAGGGAUUGCCUCAGUAACGGCGAGUGAAGCGGCAAAAGCUCAAAUUUGAAUCUGACAUCCUUCGGUGUCCGAGUUGUAAUUUUGAGAGGAUGCUCCGGGUGCGGCCCCUGCCUAAGUGCCCUGGAACGGGACGUCAGAGAGGGUGAGAAUCCCGUGCUGGGCUGGGUGUCCCCGUCCGUGUGAAGUGUCUUCGACGAGUCGAGUUGUUUGGGAAUGCAGCUCUAAAUGGGUGGUAAAUUUCAUCUAAAGCUAAAUAUCGGUGGGAGACCGAUAGCGCACAAGUAGAGUGAUCGAAAGAUGAAAAGCACUUUGAAAAUAGAGUUAAACAGUACGUGAAAUUGUUGAAAGGGAAGCGCUUGAGACCAGACUUCGGCUCGGGGUGAUCCCCCCUCUCUCGCUGGUGUGCUUCCGCCCCCCCCCGGCACCGCCUCUGCGGACGCGGCGGCAUAAGCGUCCCGAAUGUGUGGCCCCCUCGGACGUCUGAUAUCCCGGGGUGGAAUGCCGCCAGCUUGGACCGAGGACCGCACUUCCGCGGGUACGCAGGCUUGGUGUAAUGGUCUUACCCGACUC
rnacentral:rRNA from 1 species